rnacentral:rRNA from 1 species
GACGAACGCUGGCGGCGUGCUUAACACAUGCCAGUCGAACGAUGACGCCCGAGCUUGCUCGGUCUGAUUAGUGGCGAACGGGUGAGUAACACGUGAGCAACCUGCCCUUCACUCUGGGAUAACCUCGGGAAAUCGGGGCUAAUACCGGAUAUGAGCUCCUGUCGCAUGGCGGGUGCUGGAAAGUUUUUCGGUGAAGGAUGGGCUCGCGGCCUAUCAGUUUGUUGGUGAGGUAGUGGCUCACCAAGGCGAUGACGGGUAGCCGGCCUGAGAGGGCGACCGGCCACACUGGGACUGAGACACGGCCCAGACUCCUACGGGAGGCAGCAGUGGGGAAUAUUGCACAAUGGGCGAAAGCCUGAUGCAGCGACGCCGCGUGAGGGAUGACGGCCUUCGGGUUGUAAACCUCUUUCAGCAGGGAAGAAGCGAAAGUGACGGUACCUGCAGAAGAAGCGCCGGCUAACUACGUG